GAUGAACGCUAGCUACAGGCUUAACACAUGCAAGUCGAGGGGCAGCAUUUUAGUUUUGCUUGCAAACUGAAGAUGGCGACCGGCGCACGGGUGAGUAACACGUAUCCAACCUGCCGAUAACUCCGGGAUAGCCUUUCGAAAGAAAGAUUAAUACCGGAUAGUAUACGAAUAUCGCAUGAUAUUUUUAUUAAAGAAUUUCGGUUAUCGAUGGGGAUGCGUUCCAUUAGUUUGUUGGCGGGGUAACGGCCCACCAAGACUACGAUGGAUAGGGGUUCUGAGAGGAAGGUCCCCCACAUUGGAACUGAGACACGGUCCAAACUCCUACGGGAGGCAGCAGUGAGGAAUAUUGGUCAAUGGGCGCGAGCCUGAACCAGCCAAGUAGCGUGAAGGAUGAAGGCUCUAUGGGUCGUAAACUUCUUUUAUAUGGGAAUAAAGUUUUCCGCGUGUGGAAUUUUGUAUGUACCAUAUGAAUAAGGAUCGGCUAACUCCGUGCCAGCAGCCGCGGUAAUACGGAGGAUCCGAGCGUUAUCCGGAUUUAUUGGGUUUAAAGGGAGCGUAGGUGGAUUGUUAAGUCAGUUGUGAAAGUUUGCGGCUCAACCGUAAAAUUGCAGUUGAAACUGGCAGUCUUGAGUACAGUAGAGGUGGGCGGAAUUCGUGGUGUAGCGGUGAAAUGCUUAGAUAUCACGAAGAACUCCGAUUGCGAAGGCAGCUCACUAGACUGUCACUGACACUGAUGCUCGAAAGUGUGGGUAUCAAACAGGAUUAGAUACCCUGGUAGUCCACACAGUAAACGAUGAAUACUCGCUGUUUGCGAUAUACAGUAAGCGGCCAAGCGAAAGCAUUAAGUAUUCCACCUGGGGAGUACGCCGGCAACGGUGAAACUCAAAGGAAUUGACGGGGGCCCGCACAAGCGGAGGAACAUGUGGUUUAAUUCGAUGAUACGCGAGGAACCUUACCCGGGCUUAAAUUGCAACAGAAUAUAUUGGAAACAGUAUAGCCGUAAGGCUGUUGUGAAGGUGCUGCAUGGUUGUCGUCAGCUCGUGCCGUGAGGUGUCGGCUUAAGUGCCAUAACGAGCGCAACCCUUAUCUUUAGUUACUAACAGGUUAUGCUGAGGACUCUAGAGAGACUGCCGUCGUAAGAUGUGAGGAAGGUGGGGAUGACGUCAAAUCAGCACGGCCCUUACGUCCGGGGCUACACACGUGUUACAAUGGGGGGUACAGAAGGCGGCUACCUGGUGACAGGAUGCUAAUCCCAAAAACCUCUCUCAGUUCGGAUCGAAGUCUGCAACCCGACUUCGUGAAGCUGGAUUCGCUAGUAAUCGCGCAUCAGCCAUGGCGCGGUGAAUACGUUCCCGGGCCU
rnacentral:rRNA from 1 species